rnacentral:lncRNA from 1 species
UUUGCUCAAUACUGUAGUUAGGUUCCUUCUUCAUAGAAAGGAUGAUAAUGGUGUGUGAGGCUACUAAAGGCCCAGAAGAGGAGGAAAAUGGUGCUAUCAAAGUGUCGGAUCGACCGUGGGUACUAUAACCAAUAGAAUCGAUGAUUUACCAGAGAUGGACUAAGCCAUGCGCAAUCUUGAUGACCAUGGACUUGAGAUGGGAGAAGGACAUGGUUUCAGAGGACUCAACAUCAAUGAGGGCAAGUUUGUAUGGAUAAGAAUAAUAGUUUCUAAAGAGGAAAGAGACCAUGGUGAGAUUUGGGUCUCUGGGUAAUACCAGAGGUGGUUUGAGUGACUUGAAAACUCCAUCAUGAUCAUACCCAUAUUUCUCCAUUGCAAAUUAAGCAAGAGAAGAGUGAUGGGUAAUUGGGUAGGUGUUUUGAUGGAAAGAUAACAAUUUAUUCAGAUUUGGGGCAAAUGGGUAACACUAUAUGUUUGUCUCUAGUUUUUCGUUAUAUUUUGACUUCAAGUUCAAGUCAGUUUGUUGACCGCCAAGUGUGCUUCCUGCUUUUAUUUUUGAUUUCUUGGAUCUUGCAGCCCUAAAGGCUUCUCUAAGUAUGUAUGUUUUCUAGCUCAAAGAAAGAAAAAUUC